rnacentral:misc_RNA from 1 species
UCCGGCUUGUCACCGGCAGUUUCUUUAGAGUCCCCGGCAUUACCCGCUGGUAACUAAAGAUGAGGGUUGCGCUCGUUGCGGGACUUAACCCAACAUCUCACGACACGAGCUGACGACAGCCAUGCAGCACCUGUCUCUACCCCAACUAAAUGAAGGGCCUCAUUACAAAGCCCGGCUGGUAGGAUGUCAAGAGCUGGUAAGGUUUUUCGCGUAGCCUCGAAUUGAACCACAUGCUCCACCGCUUGUGCGGGUCCCCGUCAAUUCCUUUGAGUUUUAAUCUUGCGACCGUACUCCCCAGGCGGGGUGCUUAACGCGUUAGCUGCGACACCGAGACUUAAAGUCCCGACGUCUAGCACCCAUCGUUUAGGGCGUGGACUAC